rnacentral:lncRNA from 1 species
UUUAAAUAAAAAAUAUUUAAACGUUUUGGGGGUUUUACAUUGAAAUUUCGACAAUAAACUCCCAAUAAGCAUACUGCAUGAGUAAAUUACAAUUAUCCUUAAAAAUUUUGUUUCCAACAAUGAUUCUGUGACACGAUUGUCGAAGUUACGAUUGUGAGACAUGGAAGCCAAAUUUUAUUUAAUUCCUAUAAUUAAAUUUUUAUUUAAUUAAAAGUGAUGAAGUAAUCGAUCUGGACCGAUUAACGCGCGAUCAAGCCGGGUCCGAAGAAGAAUGAUUUGCAGAAGUUGGAAGCAUACAUAUGAGCAAUGGAAACAUAGAAAUUUCGGAAGCAAAGAUUUUCCCGUAAAAGAAAACUACAGUUCAUCCAAUGUAAAAUCUGCAAUCGAAUAUUUAAAUGACAUUUUUUUCAGUUAACUGCAUCUUAUUGUGGAAAAUACAAAAGAAAACAACUUCGCUCCCCAAGAAAUUUUCCGGAAAGAACGCUUUGAUGGGAUCUAUUGACCUUCCACGGCUUAAUGCCGCAACAAAGAUUUAGCAUGAUAGGUGUAAAUUUACAUACAUAUUUUAGAUAAUCUCAAUGUACUAGAAGAUAACGAAAUAAAGAACAGCUAGGUUUUGUAAAAUACAGAACAGGUGUAAAAGAGAGAACAGCCUUUUUUAAUAGACGAGCAAACGAUUAUCUUCUUGGAUAAUGUCCAGGUGGGCAAUUUGUACAGAAUAAGAUAAGAUCUGUAGGCCUUAAGAAUUUUAAAAGGCCUUAAGAAUUUUAUUGGUUACGAGAUUGAAUUCGGUAAAAUGUACAUUGGACAGAUUCGAAAGUCUCUCAAAAAAUGCGACGCUCUAAGUGCGAUGUGUUCCUUUGGCUAAACACAAGUAAAAAACUGUUUUAUUUUAUUCAACAAAAUGUAAUAAACCGAAUUUUCAUAAAUGUGCUGUUAUUUUCGUUCAAUUCCAAGACCCACAAUUUUGAAAAACUAGAAAUCAGCCAAAUCCUCAAAAAAAAAUUAUUACAAUUUUUUAUAAUAAAAAAAACCUUGGCUUUUUUAAAAUUUUAUCGCUUCAAAAUAAAUAUGAACUGUAAAUUCAAAAUUUUUCAUUUCGGUACUGUAUGGUAUUACAAAAAUAAGUAGGUGUGUGAAAAACCUACCUUGCUAUUCAUUUCUACUUAAAAAUAGACGAAACCAAGUUUACUGCAAAGUGUUCACGACGGUCAACUCUGUACCAAUUUAAACUACCUAAAACACUAUCGCCUUUGCUAAGUAAUGACAUCACAAAAAACAUCCUAACAAAAAACACAAACGGACCAAUUUGCAAAACAACGCAAAUUAUACAAAAUUUGCUCAUAUAUUAGUAUGUCCUAGUUCGUAAAGGAAUUUUACUGAUUUUAUUGUCGUACAUUUUUUAUUAAUUUACCACAAAAAAUCAUAUACCCCAAAGGUGAUCAGAUCAACCAAUAAACGUUUUCAAAAAACUAAACUAUGUCCAGACUGAAUAAUAUUAGAUUGCCAAGGUAAAAGAAAACUUGCUCAAAGUGGAAAACAUUAUAAUAGGUGUAAAUUGCUAGCUAAAAACAAAAUAACUACCUUUCAUUAUAUUAUAACAGACAAAAAAAUUAUAUUACUAGUUAUUGUCAGAAGAUGAUUCGACAUUUAUUUAUAUAAUCGUGUACCUCAGAGUACCGUUUCCUGAUUGAUGUUUGGUAAUCUCGUACCAGUUAUUAUUUGCCAUGUUGUUCUCUCUUUUCAGUUAUUAAAUAUGCAUUAAAAUUCGGUAUUAACAAUACUUACGAAUUAUUAUGACAUUUAGAGUUUAUUUGCUUCAAAACAUUUGUAUGUCUUAUGUAACUCGUCACGUGCACACGUACAAAUCUUCACGCACUUUACCGUGAUAAAAUUUCUACUACUACUACUCCUAAGACCCUUCGUCAAAUUGAAACGAGAGCCCUUAGGCCCCAAAAGUUAAACAGUGAUAGAUAUAGUAUUGACAAUGAGGGAGAAAAGGACGGACCUAGGGAGCUUUUAUAAAGGCAACAAAGUGUGCCCUUACGUGCAUCCAAACAGGAAGAGAAAGGACCGCAGCGGAUGUCCACAAUUGGCGUUAAAUGUGUUUGGUGAAAAAAGCGGCCAACGAUGGCGGUGACCCUCGUGCAUAUGGACGAUUAAUGAAAUAUUAAAUUGGACGCUGAAAUUGGACGAUAUGAGCAAUGAAAAUUUAAUUAAUUUGUAAGCAUAACCCACUGAAUAAAUUUAAAAUACUAUCACAGAAGAGAUAAUUUAAGGUAAAAGUGGUUUAUCAUUUUUGAUAUCUUCUUCGUAUCACGUCAUCUCCUCAGGAAGGUUGGCGAUUUAUAUGGCUAAUAUUGUUCUGGAAUCAUCAGCUCUAAAAAUCUUAGUCAAAGUGCAUCAGAAACAUCUUCUAAUAUCUUUGAACCAGGAGUUCUGACGUCUUCCAAUAGAUCUUCUUUCCUGAAUAUUUCCUUCAACUAUCAGCCUCAGUAAUUCGUAUUUUUCGCCUCUCAUGACCUUUGUAUCCUGUUUUUCUCUCUUUUACCAUUUUCCUUAUUCUUAAUACUUCUCUUCGUUUGUAACUCAGUGAAACCAUGAAAUAUUAAGCAUGCGACGAUUUACAUAGAAAAGCCUGGAUCCUUCCCUUAGUUAUCGGAUCGAAAGUGCAGCCUUCACAACCGUACAGUGAUAUGCUAAAGAUAUUGCACCUGACCAUGUGCAUUCUGAGCUCCAAGCUUAAAUCAAGACUGGUGAACAACUGCUUCAUUCUGGUAAAAACUUUUCUGUCCUGCUCUUUUCUAGAAGGUAUCUCUCACUUCGGGUCGCACCAUCAAGUUGUUUAUGGUGCCAAGAAAUUUAUAGGAUGAUACCUCGAUAAUUCAUCCAUUGAUCAAAAGCGUUUCGGUAAUAUGACCUUCGUGAAAAACGAUUCAUUUCGUCUUGGUAGUGUUCAUGACUAGUCCAAAUCGUUCGCUGUUGUGUAAUCUGGUCCAUCAUUUUUUGCAAAUCUGACUUUUGAUCUGCUAGGAUCACGGUGUCGUCUACAUAUCUUGUGAUGCAGCCUCCAUUCAGUUUAAUACCUCCCAUAUUUGCCUAAAAAUGCAAAUGUAAAUGUUAAACAGGAGCGGAAACAAAAUGCACCCCUGCAUUACUCCCUUCCUUAUGGGCACUGAAUCCGAAGGCUUCUUGUUUACUCUGGCCUCCGCAGUUUGGUUCCAGUAGAGCUGUAUUAUGAUUGUAAUAUAUCUCUUGUCAAUCCCGGUUGCUAAUAAUAUCUCUAGCAUCUUCUGAUGCCUGGCGCAAUCAAAUUCAACUAUAAGUUGUAGGCCUUUGUCUUCUUGGUUUGCAAUAAUUUUAAGCACCUCUGCUUUUACUUUAUCUGAUCCUGUGGCUUUUCUGUUUUUUUGAGUUUUUAUUGCAUCAAUGACUUCGCUCUUUCUAUUUCUAGUUCCUACUCUCCUUUUACUCUGCCAUCAUCCACCUUCGUGGGAGACUUCGGCCGGUUAUCUUUUUAAUUGUUCUUCGAUCCUCAUUGUUCGCAUUCCUGAGGAUUCCCAUCUGCUUUUUCCUCUUCAUUUCUUUCAGCUCUUUUACCUUCUUGUGCACCAAUUUGUUUUAGACAGAUACAAUCAUUGCUUUUGUACACUUCCUCCUUACGGUUCUGUCAUCCUUAUACUUCAGCGGUAUUUAAUUUGCCUUACAAUUCCUUAUUUCCAGCAUGAGUUCCAAAAUUUCCUCUCAUCCAUACUUUUCUCUUUUUGUUUUCCUUAAACCCAAUGUCCUGUUCCUGAACUUUCAGUAUGACAUAUAUUCACCCCACUCUGUACCCUCUGUGUCUAGUUGUUCUGGUAAAACCUGAGAGAGACUUAGAAGAAAUUGCCACUCUUCUUAAGUUUUAGGCUUACUCUUAUUUGGAAUUCUAUGUUGUUAAGUUUCUCCAAAUCUAUUUGUUUAUUUGAGAUGUUGUGUUUCACUUUCAUCAAUCGUUUCAUUCUUAAUUCCAUAACAACCGGGUUGUGAUCGCUACUGAUAUCUGUUUCGGGAUCUUUUUACUGAUUUAACGUACUUUUUGAUUUUGAUGCCACUUAUUGUUUAAUCUAUCUGAUUUCGCAUUGUUCUAUCCUUGUGGUCUUCAGGUGAUCACUUUUAGAGUUUCUCUCACCGCGACCGAAAGUCCCUUCAUCUGCACUUUAGAAUUUAAAUCUCCCAUGAUUAUCGUAAUUUCAUCGUUUUUAGUGAAUUUCAUUAUUUUAUCUACCUUGCUAUUAGACUCAGCAAUGUCUACAUCUGGCUUGUCAUUGGUUGGCGCGUAUUAUUGUAUAACGUUCAUAAUAUGAUGAGUUUGAAAUUUUAUCAGUAUGAUCCGAUCAUUGAGAGCAACAUAAUUUACCAUAGCCGGAUCUAUGAACAUUAUCGCAUCAUUCAGAAUAGUAGACAUAUUCGUUGUUGGCUUUUAUUUUUCCGGAUCCGAACCAUCUGUCUUCGCUGAGACCUAUGAUAUCGAUGUUGAUCCUCUUCAUUUCUUCUUCCAUAUUCACAAGUUUCCCUGCCAUGAAAAGACUGCGUAUGUUCCAUGUCGCAAUGCAUAUUGUCUGGUUGUACACUUUGAUCAAUGAACGAUGACAAGAGGAUUCAUAGCAGAAGAAUUUUUGAUAUAGGUCAUAAAAAACGUAAUAUAGAAAUCUGAAUAACAGGAUUAUUGUGUGUGUGUGGGUGUUACAAUUAUGUCAUUGGUUUAAACCAAAUAGCCAACAUCUAACACCAUUAUUGUUUCUCUUAAAAUAAAAAUUCUAUAUUUUGGAUGUUCGUUACAAUAUUUACUUAAUAUAAAUGCUUAUGCAAUUUUUCUUUUUAUUUCUUUGCUCUUACAUUAUUACGUUUUUUCACCUGUUUACCCUUGUUGUUAUUAUUGCCAUUGUUUUCAUCUAGUAUUUUUAUAAAGCGGACUAUAAAUAAGUGCUUUAUUUUUUAUCUUAAAGUACUUAGCAAUCGGCAAAGGAGAAAAUAGAGUGGUUAUUAGACUUUUGACUAAUUUUUAUUAAAAAGGAGACAUUAAAACAUUAUUAAAUGGAAACAAACGUCAUUUUGUACAGGGACCUUUAUAAAAACAACACCUUAAUCCGGUAUAUAUUUUAUAUAAAAACUGUUUUACCAAAGUUGAUCUGCUCAUUAAGACAUAAGUAAUCGGCUACUUCAUUAUUUUUAAAAGGAUCUAUUAAAAAAGGUUAAUAUCUAUAAGUCUUUCAUGAAUUUAAAGUAAUGUCUUCUUGACAUGUUGACAUGUCUUGUUGACAUGACUUUUAAUUGUAGUAUUCCAGAUAUCGGAAAUAUUUUUUCGCACUUUCCAGGCUUUUGACUUAUUUAUGACUAGUCAGUCUGUGGCGUCAUUUUGAAGGUCUAUAAAGUAAUUUUUGUUCCAGGGG